rnacentral:rRNA from 1 species
GACAGAGGAUGCAAGCGUUAUCCGGAAUGAUUGGGCGUAAAGCGUCUGUAGGUGGCUUUUUAAGUCCGCCGUCAAAUCCCAGGGCUCAACCCUGGACAGGCGGUGGAAACUACCAAGCUGGAGUACGGUAGGGGCAGAGGGAAUUUCCGGUGGAGCGGUGAAAUGCGUAGAGAUCGGAAAGAACACCAACGGCGAAAGCACUCUACUGGCCAUGACUGACACUAAGAGACGAAAGCUAGGGGGAGCAAAUGGG